rnacentral:lncRNA from 1 species
GCCGCCCGCCGCUCGCCGGAGAAGACGAACCAGAAGCCGGCCGCCGCCACCCGCCGCCGCACCGGAGGAAUUUCCGACCGCCGAUCGAGGUAAAUUUCGUACCCCCGACUCAUUUUUCCACGCUGAUUCCUCCUGUGGCCAAAUCGGAGCCAAAAUCCCGGCCAAACGGCCGAAAUACACGGCCGGAGCCCAGCAGCGUCGCCGCGCCCCUUCUCGAUUUUUGCCUCCGAUGAGGCCCUUCCCGGCCUCCGUUUGAUGCAAUUUUUAUAUCACCGUGAUCACCAUUCUUUUCUCUACAGGUUGACCGGAGCCGAAUCACCAAAACACGAACCUCGCUGGAGAGCCGCCGC